rnacentral:rRNA from 1 species
GCGUAAAGCGCGUGCAGGCGGAUCGGUAAGUUACUCUGAAAGCUCCUGGCUAAACCGGGAGAGGUUGAGUAAAACUGUCAGUCUAGAGUGGAUGAGAGGCAGGUAGAAUUCCUUGUGUAGUGGUGAAAUGCGUAGAUAUAAGGAAGAAUACCGGUGGCGAAGGCGACCUACUGGCAUCCAACUGACGCUCAGACGCGAAAGCAUGGGUAGCGAACGGGAUUAGAAACCCCGGUAGUCCAUGCCGUAAACGAUGCACACUAAACGUUCGUAAUCCUACGGGGUUAUGAGUGUUGAAGCUAACGCGAUAAGUGUGCCGCCUGGGGAGUACGGUCGCAAGGCUAAAACUCAAAGGAAUUGACGGGGGCCCGCACAAGCAGCGGAGCGUGUGGUUUAAUUCGAGGAUACGCGAAGAACCUUACCUGGGUUUGACAUAAUAGUGGUAGAGAAGGGAAACCGGAUCGACUCUUCGGAGAGCUAUUACAGGUGCUGCAUGGUUGUCGUCAGCUCGUGCCGUGAGGUGUUCGGUUAAGUCCGCAAACGAGCGCAACCCCUAUCGUUAGUUACAAGUGUCUAGCGAGACUGCCCGAGGCAAUCGGGAGGAAGGUGGGGAUGAUGUCAAAUCAGCAUGGCCUUUAUAUCCAGGGCUACACACACGCUACAAUGGCACAUACAAUGGGUAGCGAAGCCGCGAGGUGGAGCCAAUCUCGAAGUGUGUCUCAGUUCGGAUUACAGCUGCAACUCGCCUGUAUGAAGUCGGAGUUGCUAGUACCGUGUAUCAGCACGGC